rnacentral:rRNA from 1 species
UAGGGAAUCUUCGGCAAUGGACGAAAGUCUGACCGAGCAACGCCGCGUGAGUGAAGAAGGUUUUCGGAUCGUAAAACUCUGUUGUUAGAGAAGAACAAGGACGUUAGUAACUGAACGUCCCCUGACGGUAUCUAACCAGAAAGCCACGGCUAACUACGUGCCAGCAGCCGCGGUAAUACGUAGGUGGCAAGCGUUGUCCGGAUUUAUUGGGCGUAAAGCGAGCGCAGGCGGUUUCUUAAGUCUGAUGUGAAAGCCCCCGGCUCAACCGGGGAGGGUCAUUGGAAACUGGGAGACUUGAGGGCAGAAGAGGAGAGUGGAAUUCCAUGUGUAGCGGUGAAAUGCGUAACUAUAUGGAGGAAAACCAGUGGCGAAGGCGGCUCUCUGGUCUGUAACUGACGCUGAGGAUCGAAAGCGUGGGGAGCAAACAGG